rnacentral:rRNA from 1 species
GAUGAACGCUAGCGGCAGGCUUAACACAUGCAAGUCGAGGGGUAACAGGUUUUAGUUUACUAGAAUGCUGACGACCGGCGCACGGGUGAGUAACGCGUAUACAAUUUACCUUUUACAGGAGAAUAGCCCAGAGAAAUUUGGAUUAAUGCUCCAUGGUAUUAUUUGAUCACCUGAUCGAGUAAUUAAAGCUUCGGCGGUAAAAGAUGAGUAUGCGUCCUAUUAGCUAGAUGGUAAGGUAACGGCUUACCAUGGCGACGAUAGGUAGGGGUCCUGAGAGGGAGAUCCCCCACACUGGUACUGAGACACGGACCAGACUCCUACGGGAGGCAGCAGUGAGGAAUAUUGGGCAAUGGAGGCAACUCUGACCCAGCCAUGCCGCGUGCAGGAAGACGGCCCUAUGGGUUGUAAACUGCUUUUAUAUAGGAAGAGACUUAUCCACGUGUGGAUAACUGACGGUACUAUAAGAAUAAGCACCGCUAACU